rnacentral:rRNA from 1 species
GUACACUCCUGCGGGAGGCAGCAGUGGGGAAUAUUGGACAAUGGGCGCAAGCCUGAUCCAGCCAUGCCGCGUGAGUGAUGAAGGCCCUAGGGUUGUAAAGCUCUUUCACCGGUGAAGAUAAUGACGGUAACCGGAGAAGAAGCCCCGGCUAACUUCGUGCCAGCAGCCGCGGUAAUACGAAGGGGGCUAGCGUUGUUCGGAUUUACUGGGCGUAAAGCGCACGUAGGCGGACUAUUAAGUCAGGGGUGAAAUCCCGGGGCUCAACCCCGGAACUGCCUUUGAUACUGGUAGUCUUGAGUUCGAGAGAGGUGAGUGGGAUUCCGGGUGUAGAGGUGAAAUUCGUAGAUAUUCGGAGGAACACCAGUGGCGAAGGCGGCUCACUGGCUCGAUACUGACGCUGAGGUGCGAAAGCGUGGGGAGCAAACAGGAUUAGAUACCCCAGUAGUCCCA